ensembl:piRNA 21ur-4608 ncRNA
UAAGGGCGUGUUACCAUGUCG